CGGGGUUUAGCUCAGUGGCAUAAGCGCCUGCCUUGAAAGCAGGCAGUCGUGAGUUCGAUCCCCGGUAUCCCCA
rnacentral:tRNA from 1 species